GCCCCAGUGGCUCAACCUGGUGGAGCAUGUCCUUGGUAAGGACAAGGUUGUGGGUUCAAAUCCCAUCUGGGGCU
rnacentral:tRNA from 1 species